UCCUUAUUUGUUUGCAUCUUGCUCAGAGAAAGCUGUUGAAUUCCCUUCGUAACAGAGUGGACAAUUUUCAUGAAUGUUCCAUGUGUUCCUGAGAAGCCAUCCUGGGAGUGACAAGGAAAAUAUUCAACACAGCCAUCAAGGAAGUGUGGAUGCAUCCUAGAUGCUGCCAUUACCCCGUGGGAGCCGAGGAGUCUCUGCACCUCACAUCCCUUGCCUUAAAACGAGGACGUCCAGAACUUAGCUCUCAGCGUCACCUUCAGGUCCAACGAGGGAAUUUCCUAAACCAUCCGUGCCCCAGGUGCAGACAGGUACAAUGUCUGACGCAUUCUGGCUGAAUGACUCCCUAGGAUGGGACACUGGCAAGCAGUUGCCCUGGGACUGCAGACCUUUAAUGAGCAAGUUGAUUC